AUGGAUUGUUUUCCACAGUGGAAAUGUACUCUACGAGAGUCAGCCAGAACCUUAGAACUACUCAAAAAUCCAUUGACAAUAUUGACUGAACAAGUGUUCUUCCAACUGCAGUCCCCGCCGCCCCCCGCCCAGGAAGAGCUCCUUCUAACAGAGCACAUAAAUUCCAGAGGAACACAUGUGAAGAGGUAAGAGACAAAAGUAAUAUCCUCUCUACAUCACAUCCUCCCACUGCCCAGAUAAACUCAAACCAACCCAGAAAUCAAUUGUGUAACGAUGUUGCAGUCUUCACUGAAUUGCUGUCCACAAGCAUUAUUAAGCAUCUAUCAUGUGUAUGGAACUGUGCUGUGAGCCAUAUGCAAAGAUGAAUAAAGCAUAGACUUUAUAUUCAAAUUAAAGUAUACAGAGGAGAAAGAUACAUAAACAAAUAAUUUCAGUACCGGGCACAAAUUGCAAUAAUAGAAGUAGUCUACUCUGUUUGGAGGAGCUGGCAGGCAGGGCAGAUUUCUUAGAGGAUAUUGUGACAGAUAUUACAGAAGAUAUUUUGACUAAGUGUUAAAUAGAAGCUUGCUAAGCAGACAGGAGCAGAAAGGCCAUUCCAGAGAGAGCAGCCUGAGCAGUAAUGGAAGUCAGGAAGCUGCCUAAUGCAUUUAGGAAACCACAAGUCAAUGCCUGAGGUGAUGUGCAAUGGGAGUUGAGUUUGGAGAAGUAAGUAGAUACGAAUUCUAACGGUGAUGGAAAGCAAUUAGAAGGGUUUAAUAAAUAUGAACAUAACAUGAUCAGAUCUGCAUUUAAGAAGGAUCACCCUAAAUCCCAUGGAGAAUGGGUUUAAAUGGAAUGUGACUAAGGACAGGAAUGUAGAACUAGGAACAAAUUUAGGGGCUUGGGAGCAGGGAAGGCAUAACUGAGGUAUCUGUGAAUAUCUUGGUGUUCAUUACUCUACAUUUCAAGAGAAAUUUCUGAGCUAAAAAUGCAGAUUAAGGAAUAUUUGAUGUAUAAGCAAUCAUUAAAGUCCAUGGUAUAUGACAAAGUUAUAAUGAAAAAAGCCAGCAAGCCAAGAGAAACAGAAGGAAUAAAAAGAAAGGAAAAGAACUCCAGGCAGGAAAGAGAGAAGUAAUGAGCAUAGAAGUAUGAGGAAAACCAAGAGAUCAAUUACUUCUAUUGUAAAUAUAUCCACUACCUCAUUUCUUUCCAAUGCAGGAGAGUCAGAAGAAAGGCAGGUAGGGACAAGGGGGCCCCCCACCCUAAGAGGAAACUACUUUUAAAAGGAUUUUACACCAGGGAACCUGGGUAGCUCUGGGGGCACCAGUUUGAGCAUCUGCCUUCAGCUCAGGAUGUGAUCCCAGGGCCUUGGGAUUGAGUCCUGCAUCAGGCUCCCUGCCAGGAGGCCACUUCUCCCUCUGCCUAUGUCUCUGCCUUUCUGUCUGUGUCUCUCAUGAAUAAAUAAAUAAAAAUCUUUAAAAAAAAAUUUUUUUAAAGAAUUUUACACCACCUUUUCCUACAUGAUAGGUAGAUGACAAAUACUUGAUAGAGUGACAGGUAUGGAGAGCUAAUCAAAUUUAAGAAGCCCACCAAUAAGCCCAUAAAAACCCCAAGACUUAGAAACUCCAGGGUCCUCUCCUUCUUUGGGAGCUUUGUACUAUCACGCAAUAAACUUUGCUUUGCUGCCCACCACUCUUCAUCUGGUCUACCUCUUCACUCUUUGAAGCGGCACGACCAAGAACCACGAGCACCUAAAAAAAAAGAAAUCCCGUAACAUUUCUAUAGUUUGAAAUCUUCGGAAAGUAAGCAUAUGUUUCAGAUAGUUAGGUAUUUCUAUUGUUUGGAAUAGAAGUGUAAAAAGAAAAUAAAUUUUCUUAGACGGUGUGAAAUAUUCUUACCACCAAAUCUGAUACACACUGGCUCCUGAUUUUGCCUAUAAGCAAAGCAUUUUUUAAAAUUCCAUUUGUGGGCAUCUGGGUGGCUCAGUUGGUUAAGCCAACUCUUGAAUUUGGCUCAAAUCAUGAUCUCAGAGUUGUGAGAUUAAGCCCCACAUGGGGCUCCGCUCUGAGUGUGGAGGUUGCUUAAUAUUCUUUCACUCUCUCUGUCUGCCCCUUCCCCACUCCUGGCACACAUGCUCUUUCUCCCUCUUGGAAAAAAAAAAAGUUUUUUCAUAUGUACCAGCUUAUUAUCAAUUCUUGCUAUAAGCGUAUAAGGUAGGAAUUAUUUUCUAAAGGAAAAAACAAAGACUCAAAACCCAAGUAACCUAUCCAAGAAAAGUUACCAGGUCUUCUGAGCCCUGAGUUGCUUACA
rnacentral:lncRNA from 1 species